GCUGCUGGGGAGCCGGUGGCGUACGCGGCGAGGGAGCGGGGACGGGGCGGCGCCUUCUGGCUGGGGCUGGGGCCGGCGAGAGCGCGAACGAGCGACGGCGGCACGGGCCUGUGGACGGCGGCAUCAGCUGCUAGCAGAAAUUGGAAGAAGAGAAUCAACUAUUUUGUGCAAGUAUUUUGUUCAGGUUAGAAGACAGAGUAUUGUGAAACCAGUGUAGUCUCUGGAGUUAGACCUGGAGUCAGAAUGUAUAUUUACCAUACUAGAAAAAGGAUGUUUGGAAGAAUGGCCUUCCAAGUCAGAAGCAUCUGGGUUGAAAUUGAGCUCCACUCCCUACUGUGCCAAAGCCAGAUAGCAGUGUUCUUACUUGGCCUACUCCUAAGGCAAGCCAUCUCUGAUGUCCUGGAAGAUUCUCUUCUAUCCAGUGGUUGGAAUGAAUCUUCUGGUAGAAGGCAAGGCGGGAAUUUGGUACACGGGUUGAAAGUCGUGUUCCUAAGGUUCUCUAUUGAAAUCUGUGAGCAGAAGAGAGGCCCCGGAGUCGUCCUGGAAAUUUUCUUGAGCUGGAGUGUAAUGACAGGAUCUCAGCUCACUGCAACCUCCACCUCCCGGAUUGAAGCCCUCUCCUACUUCAGCCUCCCGAGUAGCUGGGAUUACAGGCAUGUGCCACCACACCCAGCUAAUUUAGUAGAGAUUCUGUUUCACCGUGAUGGCCAGACUAGUCUUGACCUCCUGACCUCAAAUGAUAAACCCCUCUUGGCCUCCCAGAGAGCUGGGAUUAUAGGCGUGAGUCACCCUGCCCGGCCUCAUAUGAAUACUUGUUACAUGUGUAGAAUGUGUAAUGAUCAAGUCAGGGUACGUGGAGUAUUCAUCACCUUGAGUAUUUAUUUUAUUUUAUUUUAUUUUUUAAGACGGAGUGUUGCUGUUUUCCAGGCCGGAGUGCAGUGGUGCAAUCUCGGCUUACUGUAACCUCUGCCUCCCUAGUUCAAGCAGUUCUCCCGCCUCAGCCUUUGGAGUAAGCUGGGAUUGAGCCAUGCACCACUACACUGGGCUAAUUUUUGUAUUUUGAAUAGAGACAGGGUUUCACCAUGUGGUCCAGGCUGGUCUGGAACCCUGACCUCAGGUGAUCCGUCUGCCUCAGCCUCCCAAAGUUCUGGGAUUACAGGUGUGAGCUACUGUGCCUGGCCGAGAUUGAUCAUCUCUGUGUGCUGGUUAACAUUUCUAGCCUUCUCUUUCAGCUACUUUGAAAUAUACAAUAGGUAUUUGCUAACAUAUUGCAAAUACGUCGCGCCGUUGCACUCCAGCCUAACUAUGGUGACCGUACUCUGCUAUAGAACAUUAGGAUUUACUGUUUCUAACUGUACAUUUGUACCCAUUAACCAACACCUCUCCUCCUCACCCCCAUCCCAUCCCAGCCUCUGAUACCUGUCAUCAUAUUCUCUCUUUCCAUAAGAUCAACUUUUUUUUGUUGUCGUUGUUGUUUUUAAUUCUCACAUGUCUGUGAGAAUGUGUGAUGUAUGGCUGGCCUGACUUAUUUCACUUAACAUAAUGACCUCCACCUUCAUCCAUGUUGCUGCAAGCAACGCGCUUUCGCUUUGGUGUUUUUUUCUGGCUGAAGAGCUUUCCAUUUGUAUAUAUGCCACGUUUUCCUUGCCUGCUCGCGUUGGUGGAUACUUGGGUUGAUUCCAUAUCUUUGCUGUUGUCAAUAGUGCUAUGAUAAACACGUGAGUGCACAUUGAUUUGAUAUGCUGAUUUCUUUUAUGUUGGUUAAAUAGCCAGUGGUGGGAUUGCUGGAUCGUGUAGUAGUUUUGUUUUUAGUGUUUUGAGAAAUCUCCGUACUGGUUUUCAUCACGACGUUGCUGAUUUCCAGUCCCACCUCGGUGUGUAAGAGUUCCCUUUUCUCCGCAUCAUGUCAGCAUCUGCUGUUUGUAUUUUUGAGAAUAGAUACCCUAACUGUGGUAAGGUGGUGGGUAUCUGGUUGUAGUUUUGAUUUGCACUUACCUGGUGAAUACCGAUGUCAGCAUUUUUUAAUGUAUCAGUUGGCUAUUUGUAUGUUUUCGAUGUCCUUCGCCCAUUUUUUCGUGGGAUUAUUUGUCGUUUUUAAUUGUCGGUUAUUUGAGCUCGUUAUGGGUUCUGAAUUUUAGUCCUUCGUCAUGAAUAGUUUGCACACGUGGUUUCCCGUUCAACAUGUUGUCUCUUUGCUCUGUCGUUUGUUUUCUUUGCUGUGCAGAAGCUGAUUGAAAGAGAUGUAAUCCCAGCAGGUUGGGAGGCUGAGGUGAGUGGAUUGCCCGAGAUGGGGCUGUGAGACCAGCCUGGCCAACGUGGUGAAACCCCAUGUUUACAAAUGAUACAGAAAAAUUAGCUUGGUGCGUUGGUGGCCAUCUCCUGGGUUCAAGCAAUUCUCCUGCCUCAGCCUCCCAAGUAGCUGGGACUGCAGGAGCCUGCCACUAUGCCUGGUUAAUUCUUUUUUUUUUUUUUUUUUGGUAGGAGUUUUGCUCUUGCCGCCGAGGCUGUAGUGCAAUGGCACCAUCUUGGCUCACCACAACCUCUGCCUCCUGGAUUCAAGUGAUUAUCCUGCCUCAGCCUCUGGAGCAGCUGGGAUUAGCCCAGCUAAUUUAUUUUUAUUUUUGAGGUGGAGUUUUGCCUUCGUUGCCCAGGCUGGAGUACAAUGGUGCUAUCCCGGCUCACGGCAACAUCCGCCUCCUGGGUUCAAAUCUGUGUCUGCAUUGAUUCCACACAAGAGUUCAGUCAUCAUAUGGGAAGUGAAUCAUAGCUGUGGGGGGGGGCUCCAUGCAGGACGCCACGUGCCCCUGAGGCCAGUCCCUGUGGCCACAGAAGGAACAUCUGCUUCCGCCAGUUGGGCAAGAGUCUUUCCUGUCUAGAAAUGGGCAGAAGGACUUCCCCUGCUCCCCACCCACCGUCGUAUCCCAAACACACCCGUGUGGAUGGAUGCCUCGACAUCUCCCCUCAGCCCAGGGCCUGAGCUCUUCCUGAUGAGGGUUUAGCAGGAGUGACCGCCUCUCCCCGGGUCCAUGUUGCGGGCAGCUGCCUUCUCCUCAGCUCCUGUGGGGCAGAACGAGAGCCAGCCAGCUCUCAACAUCCCAGGAUGUUCCAGGGAUGCUGCUAACUAAAGCAGUCGGGGCCUUGUGGGUGAGCGGUGGGAGGGAUCAGGGUUUCCUCGGCAUCUGUCAGUUCCUGGAGCAUCUGAAGGGGCAACCUACAUCUGGAGGGACGAGUGGGGCUGGCAUGGCAGCCGUGGGUACCCAGUGCCUGGCAUCUCCCGGUCCCUCUGCACUCCUUCACAGACCCCCUCCACUGAGCAGCACAGCCCUGAGGACAGAGGCAGCAGCCCGGAGAGCAUUUCCAACACAAGUGUAUUUAUUCAGAUUUACAGAGGAGACUCCCAAGAAGGGAUCAAGGGCAAAGCUGCAGAUACCUGCCCAGUAAGAAAGGAUUGGCUGGACUCAUGGGACAGUGAGGGGCAGGUGGGGUGACGCCCCCUGAGAGUGUGUCCUGAGCGGCAGCCAGAUGAAUGUUGCUGAAAGUGUGCGCUUCCGUAGCUCCACCCGUCGCCUUCCAGACCUCCCCGCAAGAUCCCCUGAAGAGCGUGACCUCCCGUCCAUUCGGCAGCCUUUGUAUGGGUGAGCUGCAGGAUGAGCUCUGGAGCCCCGAGGACACUCACAUGAAGAAACAGGAAAGCGCUUCGGUGUCCGGACUCUGGGGAAGGUGCCUCCGGGCCAGGGGCUUGUAGCGCUGCCAGAGUCGGAAGUUCUCAUACACGCUCUUGGGGUUGCGGGAGUCGUCCGGUUGGGCCUUGGCCUGGGAGGGAGCCUGGCUGCCCUCUCCUGUGAGCCCCUGUGGCCAUGGACAAGCAUUCCCUGGGACCAUGAUUGGGGCCAGCUGGGGAGCUGGUGGUGGUGCCGGAGGAGGAAGGCCCUGGGACCAGCCUCCCUCGCAGGCCUGGGUGCCCCCACGGAUGUGGGCAACCAUAGCGGGCACCACAGGGGCAGCUGCCAGGGGUCGGGGAGGUGGACAGGCGACGCCCUGACAGACGGCACCUGGAUCCCGCCAGACGAGGGGGGCCCGAGUUAGGACCAAGCUCUGUGCCUGAGGGGCGUUCACAGGCCCCACUGCUGUCAUCAUCUGGCCAAAGACGUUGGCAGCCGCAGUCCAGUUUGGGCCACGGCCAUCCUGUCCUGCCACCAGGGGGUUCCCGGGGAGGGCGGACAGCACCGGAGGCCCGGCUGGAGGAACCACUACAGUCACGAGGGGCAGGCCCGUGUGCUGGGCCUGGGAGCAGGUGUGGCGGAGGACAGAUGCCGUGAACACUGGUACGGAGGCGCCAGGAUUCUCGGUCACACCCAGUUUCGGCACUGGGCAUGCUGUGGAGACAAAGGAAAGAGGAGGGUCGCUUCACUACAGAGCCUGGCAUUUAGCCAAGAUUGCACCACUGCAUUCUAGCCGCGGUGACAGAGGAAGACUUUGUCUUGAAAAAGAAACGGUGAAAGAAAACCACUGGAUGGAAAUCUCUCCCAAGCCAGCACCCUGUGAACCCUGAAGAUAACCCAGACGUAUCACAUCCAGCGUGCAAGUGAUUGCUCCGGCACCAUGCCCAGGAAGUGCGAAACAUGGGUCAGAGUCAGGCUACACUUUGCUCAGUGCUCGGUGGUUCUGGCUGCCACUCGGGAAACUGUUCCCAGGGAGCAGGUCUGAGAAGCAGUGGUGGAGUUCCCUGAGAUAACUGUCAUCGCGUAGCCAGCAAGAGCGGCAGCGGCCCAGGAUUGGAGCACAGCCAGCAAGUGACUCACCUCCAUUUGAAGCCAUCCCCUCAGGCUGUCUGACAGUUUCCGAAAUGAAGAGUCAAGGGCAGGACCCAAAGAGUGACCUGCCUCAACAGAUUCUCCUGAGUUCAGGCUGGAGUGCAACGGCGCGAUCUCGGCUCACCGCAACCUCUGCCUCCUGGGUUCAAGCAGUUUUCUCCUGCCUCAGCCUCCCGAGUAGCUGGGACUACAGGUGCGCGCCACCACGCCCAGCGAUGGCCUAAAAAUGAGCAAAUGGACAAAGAAUCAUCCAGAUCCAGUUUAUAUCAUCCAGAAGUAUGGUGCCGAUGCGCUCAGGAAGAAGAAGAAAUAGAAUUUCUCUACAGUGAGAACACGGUUAGAAAAAGCCCCAACGUUAUAGAGCAGUUGAUCCUGUCCUUCCUGCAGUCUCUCAUUGGCUUUUGAGACUGAAAUGGCAGCUCAUAGGCUUUACGCUGCGGUGCCUCGCCUUGUCAAGUUUGUACCUGUUCUCACUGAUUGGUACGUUAGAGUGAACCGCAGAAGAUUAAAGGCUCCCUACACGCCUUUUCUCACCGAAUUAUGUACCAGAAUCUAAAGGUGCUGAUUGACCCUGUUUCUUUUCAAGACAAGGACACUCUCAGCAUCUACUACCUCAUGGUGCUCCAUGUUCGACUCCUACCUCUACCAUUCAGAGAAGAAUUGAUUGAUAAGAAAACACAGAGUGCAAUACCUCAGAUGCAGUCUGCGAUUGAACUGGAGUGAGUGAUCAGAGACCGCAAAACUAUUCCCAUAAAGUAUCCUUUGAAAGAAAUUGUGGUUAUUCAUCAAGAUCCAGAAGCUCUUAAAGAUGUCAGGUCUUUGGAGAAGUAUGUCAUUGAGAAGUUUUCAUGGGCUGAUCUGCUGAGUUCAGCCUGGGAACUGAGGACAACAUCGGAGUCUCACCACACAAGUUUUAAAGAACUCCUAGUGACUUGAAGCUCAGAACUGUGGACGGCAGAGGCUCCCUUUGGACCUGGAAUUCUCCAUCCCUUUCCAGGAAGAGAACAAAGUCCACAAGCACUGGACUCAGCUAUGAUGUGGAAGGAGACCCAGGCAUCUAGGAUCACUGCUCACUUGACUUCCACACUGCAUGCGAUCCCACCCAUGGGCAGGGGUUGUAAAUAUCCAGGAAGCUUCAUUCGCUGCCCCGCCUGCCGCUCACCUCCUGCUGCACUGGAAGAACAGGCUGGCCAACUGGCACUUCCCGAAUCAUCUUCCUGUAAGAUAGCAGGCGUGGUAUGGGGGAAUUGCUCCAGAAGGCACUGUGUGAACAAGAUCAAACCCCCACCCCACUCCUCCAUCUGGAGACCACAAACCUUUCACAUGUGAUUUCUUCUAAAGCUCUAAACCCGACCCUUUCAUAUGUGAUUUCUAAAGCUGUAAACCCAAGACCCUUUCACUUGUAAUUUCUAAGGCUGUAAACCUAAGAUCCUUUCAGGUGUAAUAUCUAGAGUGUAAGCCUAUAUAAAGGCAGAGCUUCUCUUUGGUAGGGGAGCUUGGCUUUUUGGAGAAAACAGAAAGACUUGCUCCCCGGCUGUAAUAAUAAAACCCCUUCCUUUUCUAGUUUGGUGUCUGAGAGGUCUGUUUCUCGGGGCCACCCAUGCUUCAAAGAUACAUACUUAGGAAUCUAUAUUUAUCUUGACCAAAUUCCUAUCUAAGGGGUCUGGGGAGUCAUGCCCUAGAAACCAUAAAUUCUCAUCAGAUGGGUUUUAGUUAACUGAAUAUCUUGAGUUACUUUCCAAUCUGACUCUGGCAUAACAAGGAAGAAAAUAAGACUUCUUACCCCAAAUCACGUUUCUCUGCUGUAUCUUGAAAUGGCCGUGCAAAGCCAUCCCUUACGGGAAAAAUCCACAUUCUACAGAGAAUCCCCUUUCCCCGCCAACUUUCUUUUUUUUUUUUCUUUAUAAUUUUCCUUACUUUUCAGAUCCAGGAGAUAAUCAAUUAAGAGCUAGGCACACUAGGUCCAGUAAGAAACAUUUUACAACCCGUUCACUCUGAGGUCUGCUGAGAGCUUCCUCUGCACAAUAAAACUUGGUUUCCACAAUCCUUUAUCUUACCCUGAACAUUUCCUUUCUGUUGAUCUCACAUAAUGAGGUCUUCACAUAAACUCAACCAAUUGUCAACCAGAAGAUGUUUAAAUUUACCUGUAGCCUGGAAGCCCCCUCUUUGAGCUGUCCCUUCUUUCAGAACCAAACCAAUACAUUUCUUAAAUGUAUUUGAUUGAUGUUGCAUGCCUCCCUAAAAUGUAUAAAACCAAGCUGUACCGUACCUACCUUGGGGCCACGUUCUCAGGACCACCCGAAGGCUGUGUCACGGGCCACGGUCACUCAUAUUUGGCUCAGAAUAAAUCUCUUAAAGAUUUACUCUCAACAUACCCAUCCAAAAUCCUCACUGCCCACAUUGCGGAGAUGAGCUCUUGAAACCUCUUCCUGUUCUGAGGGUUGUAUGGCUGGUGAAUGUUCUUUGCUCAAAUAAACUCUGUUAAACUUGUCUGAUAUUUUUAUCAGGAAGAAGCUUUAGUGUGGAGUCCAGUCGUCUGAGGCUUCCUGAGAAGCAAACUAAACAGGCCCCCACCAUUCAAGACUCACACCCUAGCAAGUUGGCCUGUGAACGU